CCUACGGGGGGCUGCAGUGGGGGAUAUUGCACAAUGGGCGAAAGCCUGAUGCAGCGACGCCGCGGGAGGGAAGACGGUCUUCGGAUUGUAAAACUCUGUCUUUGGGGAAGAAAAUGACGGUACCCAAAGAGGAAGCUCCGGCAAACUACGUGCCAGCAGCCGCGGUAAUAAGUAGGGAGCAAGCGUGGUCCGGACUCACCGGUGGUAAAGGGAGCGUAGGCGGGUUGGAAAUCAGAAGGUUAAAUCCAUCGGCUCAACCGGGGGCGGCGUUCUAAACUGCCGGUCUUGAGUGAAGUAGAGGGAGGCGGAAUUCCUGGUGUAGCGGUGAAAUGCGUAGAUAUUAGGAGGAACACCAGUGGCGAAGGCGGCCUGCUGGGCUUUAACUGACGCUGAGGCUCGAAAGCGUGGGGAGCGAACAGGAGUAGAUACCCUUGUAGUC
rnacentral:rRNA from 1 species